UUUGGUGGUUAUACUGGUGGUGUCCCACCUGUUCCCAUUCCGAACACAGAAGUGAAAUCCACCAAGGCCGAUGAUAGUGGUUUUACCGCGAAAGUAGGUAGCCGCCAAUU
rnacentral:rRNA from 1 species